GAAAAGCUUGUGGCUGAGCAGUGUGACUCCUGCUCUCCCUGAGGACAGAGACAGUGUGACUGACCGGGCCCUCAUCACCUCACGGCCAUCUGCCCCUGCCACCUGCCUCCUCCUUGGGGCUCCCCACACCACCUGCCUCCCACACUCAGCUUCCCUGGGGCGGCACACACCCAUCUCACCAAAGCACCUCGAAAGGACUCUGAGCCCCUAGAGCAGCGGUGCUUUAAAUGCAUUUGGUCGAGCUACUUCAUGGUUUUGAAGCGGAAAUGCAUGAUUCCGGCUGGGGUGCGGAGCUGCGUUAGAUGGCUUCCCUGGCAUAUCAAGGCCCUGGGUUCGUCCCAGCACUGCAAAAAGGAAAAAGAGAUAUGCGAUUAACAUGCACUGUACUCUGUUCAAAAAGUUUCUUUAGGAAUUUAAAUACCCUUUGCUCUUCUUGGCCUUUGAAUGCUAUUGCCAAAGCAUGAUUUGUUCUGAGGAGAAGAAGGUCGGGAAUUUGCCUGUGAGAACAGGCCCUGGAAGGCUCCAAACGGCCUCUGUUGAUGACCUCCUCCAUGCUGUAAGAUCCCGAGAGAGACCCCUGGAACAGCAAAACCUUGGUGUAUCCCUAUCUCAUAGCCCUCCGUCGUCUCCUGAGAGGUGAAAAGAUGACUUCUUAAUCAUAACUCCAAGCUGAUAUUCUUAUACUAUUGUGGGGCGGGAGGUACACAAUUUAGAAACAUGAUUCAAGCCUAAUUACAUUAAAAAAAUGAAUCAUUAUUUACAAAUCACUUCAACUCCUCAGCCCAGAGGUCAGAAAGGACUGCAGGAGUUUAAUGAUUUGUUUCUGAAAGGAUCAUGGAAAAGCUGCAGUAAAGGCCCAUUCCUCCUCUGUGUCCUGCCGACCCAAUAGACGCGUCUCGCAGCUGUGAUCGCUGGUGAUGAUGGUGAUCACAGUACCGGGGGACUCCCCUGGUGGUGUCCUCAGGGCACCACUGUUCUCGACCCCAGGGCGAGCCAGGCUUCUGACAGCACAGGAGUGUGGUUUCCGCCUGUAGAUUCACCAUUCCACUGGUCCCAUUCCUUCAGGAUUUGGAAGGGAAAAACUGCAAAACAUUUUGGUUUUGUGUUUGGUUUCAUUGGUGAGAAACAUCUGAUCUGGUGCCAGCACUUCAGAAAUGCUGCCUGCCUCCCUGUCCGUACACUGAAUUGGGCGAGGAGCAAAUGAAUCUCGGAUCACGGUCACACUUCGGUUUACAGCAGGCAGGGAGCUUUGAGUGGUGCCGAGCUCACUGGCCUCACCGUGCUAAGCUCUGAGUUCAAUUCCUAGCACCUCAGAAAUAAAAAUACAAGCAUUCAAAGAGAAAGCAUGCCGACCCAUGGAGUUCCAAUGGGUUUUAGGAACUCUCUGGAAGAAUCAGCAGAUAAACACUGAGCAGAGUCAUGAGGAAAACGGCAGAAUCCACAGCUCAGGUCCCCACCUGGCAGACCUGAUGGGGAGGCUGCAGCCUCCUUCGAAUGGAGGGACAGGCACUGUUGGCCAAGGGUCCUCCUGCCGCAUGGGGCUCCACUAGGCCCAGGAGCCCAAGCGAGAGAGCAGCACCAAGGAAGGAGAUUGGACCAGGGGGUCACAGGCAGAGCGGGGACUCCGUGGGAGUGGAGGGGGUGAAAUAAGCUGAAAGUAAAGCGAUUUUAAAAGCUCUUUUUGCAAAUAAAGCCUUGAUCAUGUAAUCUAAUAAAAUGUGAGAC
rnacentral:lncRNA from 1 species